CAUCCAUACUUAUAGAUUCUCCUGGUAAAUUUGUUGCUGGUGUUCUCCCUAUCAGUUGUUUUGUGGGUCUAUGUUCAUACUUUGAUUCAUAGCAAAUUGUACAGUUUCUCGCAAAGUGUCUAAUUUGUUUUGACAUAUCCGGCCAAAAGUAUUGAUGUUUUAUUUCUAUUAAAUUGUUUUUCUCAUUUCUAUGUGCUCUAUUAUAUAUGUUUGUUAUAAUUUCUAUUUGUUUAUUUGUGUCUGUUAUGUCUGCUGUUAAAUUUUGUGCUAUAAAAAGUUUGUAACUUAAAAAAUUUUUAGUCAGUAGUGUUUUUAUUUUAAACAGUUGUUGUUCAUCUACUUUAAUUGCAUUAUUGUAACUUGGAACUAGAAUCUCCUUUAAAGUUUUUGUCAGGUAUUCAACUUGAUUUUUCGUCUGAGAUUUUCUUAUUAGCUUUAUGCUUUAUGGCGUUGACUACAGUUUGGAUAUGUUUGGAUAUGUUUAAUGUGUACUUCGGGUGUGAAGAAUAAAUUAACACGUCGUCGAUGUAUACAAACGCAAAUUUAUUUAUAUAAUCUCUCAGAAUAUCGUCAACACAUCUUUGGAAGAUAGAGGGUGCAUUUUUUAAUCCAAAAUGCCUGUAUUGUCACCAUUUACGUCUGGGAUAGGAUAUCUGUCUGAUGUCGAAUCAUUACAUCCGUGCAUGGAUCGGCAAACAUACGAAAGAAAAUUACGUGAUACGUCAAUCGUAUGCGGUGAUUGGCAUUAUGACAUACGAUAGCAAACGGAUCGUAAUGUAUUUUCAAUUCACAAUAGUUCUUAAAUUCCACGUUGCUUUGGAUCGUAUUUUUAGGUCACAAUAGAUGUGGAACUGUCAAAAUUGUUGAGAAAUUUUCAAUAAACUAAGAAAAGCUAUUUAAAUAUCAAAAUAGAUCCAACUUUGUUUUUUUAUUUGAGCUCUAGUGAAGGUUAUGGGGAUAAAAAAAUAGUGCAGAGAUAGCUAACAGAUUGUAGCAAUAGCAUGUAUCGUUGAAGAAAGCAUAGUAAUCUUAAAAAUACGGUGGAGAAUUUUAAGAUAUGGCAAGAGAGGAAGACAUCACCCCACAAAAGUGGAAGCUUUGCUACCGGUUGUGAGGCAUUACAUAAAAUCUGCAUAAAAUUUACAAUAAGUUACGAACCUCAAAAUUGCGAUUCUUAUAACACACAAGAAAUGGACACCGGGGUAGCGAACCGUCUCACCGCAAUCGUCCAAACGAUAAGAGACCAAAUAAUGUAUUCUUUAAUAAAUUUAAUUCAAAAAUGUACAUACAUAUAUGCCCUUUACCUUGUACAUAAUUUUAUUUUUAAUGUCAACUAAAAUACAAAAAUUUUGUUAAUAUAAA